AAGUCGAGCGAUGAGGCUCCUCGGGGGUACAUCAGCGGCAGACGGGUGAGUAACACGUAGGUGACCUACCCUCGAGACGGGGAUAACGGCUGGAAACAGUCGCUAAUACCCGAUAGACUUACCAGGUCAAAGCGGUAAGAAAAGCUACGGUGCUUGGGGAGGGGCCUGCGGCCCAUCAGCUAGUUGGUAGGGUAACGGCCUACCAAGGCGAAGACGGGUAGGGGGUGUGAGAGCACGAGCCCCCACAAUGGGACUGCGACACGGCCCAUACUCCUACGGGAGGCAGCAGCAGGGAAUAUUGCACAAUGGACGGAAGUCUGAUGCAGCGACGCCGCGUGAGUGAAGACGGCCUUCGGGUUGUAAAGCUCUUUUACGGGGGACGAGGAAGGACGGUACCCUGGGAAGAAGUGUCGGCUAACUACGUGCCAGCAGCCGCGGAAGACGUAGGACACAAGCGUUAUCCGGAGUUACUGGGCGUAAAGCGCCUGCAGGCGGCCCGGUAAGUUGGACGUGAAAGCCCCGUGCUUAACGCGGGGAGGUCGGACAAUACUGCCAAGCUAGAGUGCGUCAGAGGGGAGUGGAAUUUCCGGAGUAGCGGUAAAAUGCGCAGAUAUCGGAAGGAACACCAGUGGCGAAAGCGACUCCCUGGGGCGCGACUGACGCUAAGAGGCGAAAGCUAGGGGAGCGAACAGGAUUAGAGACCCUGGUAGUCCUAGCCCUAAACGAUGGAUGCUAGGUGUGGGACGUAAAGUUCCGUGCCGGAGCCAACGCGAUAAGCAUCCCGCCUGGGGACUACGGUCGCAAGGCUAAAACUCAAACGAAUUGACGGGGACCCGCACAAGCAGCGGAGCGUGUGGUUCAAUUCGAUGCUACACGAAGAACCUUACCUGGGUUUGACAUGUACGUGGUAGAGAAGCGGAAGCGGAUUGACCCUUCGGGGAGCGUACACAGGUGCUGCAUGGCUGUCGUCAGCUCGUGCCGUGAGGUGUCGGGUUAAGUCCCGUAACGAGCGCAACCCUUAUCCUUAGUUGCACGUAUCUAGGGAGACUGCCGGCGGGAAGCCGGAGGAAGGUGGGGAUGACGUCAAGUCAGCAUGGCCCUUAUGUCCAGGGCUACACACACGCUACAAUGGCCGGUACAAAGGGCAGCAAAGUCGCGAGGCGGAGCGAAUCCCAACAAAGCCGGUCGUAGUUCGGAUUGCAGGCUGCAACUCGCCUGCAUGAAGCUGGAGUUGCUAGUAACCGCGCGUCAGCUAUAGUCCGGUGAAUACGUACCCGGG
rnacentral:rRNA from 1 species